UCUGAGCUGAUGGUUUAUCUACUGUGGCCUCCUUAGGAUUUGACUUCUGAACCUGAUACCUCUCUGUUGAAUGGACAGACAGAUCAGAUCUACAGAGUUGAGCUCCUCUCUGGGGCUUCUUAUUGGCUGCUCUGUCCUGGUGACUCCACUGGGCUCUUGGCCGGCACACCUGAGUCUGCUGAAGUGAUUAGCCUGCACCAACUGUGAGUGACUGUUGCUGUCUGUGGAUGUAGGCCAUGCUUCACCAGGACAAGUCUCGGAGGAAAGACCUGUUAUUCUUUCUUGUUAUUCAACAUCUCUACCUCUCCAUUUGACACCCCAGCCACCUCCAGGCCUUUCUAGUUUGAAUUCCACCCAGUGUCGAUGUCCACCCAGCCUGGAAGGCGUGUGAUCUCAGCAGCCUGCUUUUAACUUCUGGUGACAGCUGUAACCUCAGUCUUCCUGAAUUACUGAGACUCCUGAUGACACUGACCGCUUUGGAAGCCCAUGGGGACAGGACAUGUUUCCUGUGAGAGGCUGUGGAUAGCCCUGAAAUAUAAUGAAUUCAAAGAACCUGGUGAUACCCCUUAGCCCUGUGUUCAGACGCACAAGAGCCCAUUGGAGAGGCAGACUAGGCCCUGGGGAUGUGGUUCCCUUGGAGAGCACCUGACCAGCAUGGCCACGCCCUGGUUUCUAUCCCUGUACCACAUAAACCCAGUGCAUCAGCA